CACAGAGUGUUCCCCUCUCGUGUGUCCAUCCCAGAAUCUCUCUUCCUCCAGCAAGGACAGCAGUUGUGUUGGCUUAGGGCCACCGUAAUGACCUCAUCUGAAGCUUGCUUACAUCUGCAAAGACCCUCUUUCCAAGCUAAAAGGAUUCUUAUCAUGAAGGUGAGGACCUCAGACUAUAUGGCCAACUCCAUUUGACAUUUAAUUCAUGCAAUAAUCUCUCCUUGCUCUGAACCUAUACUCAGUGUAUUAGGGCUGCCAUAAUAAAGCAGCACAAACUGAGUGGUCUAAACAACAGAAACGCACCGUCCACACUUCUGGAGAGACUAGAAAUUGUGACAUCAAGGUGGCUACAGGGGGAACCUUCCAGAACACAAGGUGGCUACAGGGGGAACCUUCCAGAACGCAGAGGAUCACCAGCUGCCAGAGCUGCUUACAGAAAUGCAUUCCUUCCCACUCCCCCACAUCAGCCUCAGCCCGCUCACUGGCUGUAGAAAACAGCAAAGGAAACCACUUACUGUGAUAUUUUGGAGAACACUCACCAAGGGAUCUUCUAGAGACAAUUUGGUUUCCCCUGAAGCUUCUUCUCGAUGGAGAGAAUAUGGGAAACAGACGUCAGAACUCUUCUCACUGUCAAUGAGUAACUUGUGCUGAGGAGUCUGCCAACCCACGGAACCUGUGCACGAAAGUAGAGGAGAAAGGGAACAUUUUCAUCAUUGAGUAAACGUUCAACCAGAGUGUGAUGUACAUACAUCACAGGAAUCUGCUAAGAAAUCGCAAAAGGGAAGGACAGCUCACCCUUUUAUACAAUGAAGCAGAUGCAACUCAUUAUUUACAUGUUUUCAAGAUAAACUAGUCUUCAAGCAACGGGACUAGGUAGCACCAUUUGCCACACAUAGUAAUUACUACCUGGUAACUGCAGCGAUCAUCUAUGUUAGCUUUUGGCUUUAUUCAAAGGAGAAAUAAACGUCUUAUAUCCUUUUCCCCCCAGUUUUAUUGAGAAGGUCUAAUCCCACAGCCUCCCAGACCUCGGGAUGUCACCAAAUGGCAUGUGCGUGGUGCGCCAAGAAGAACAAAGGCCAACACUGCAGCAUUCUUCAAAGCCGGGCUGCGUCUUGCAUAACACCCUGUAUUAGAAAACCUCGACCCACAAAACGCUCACCUACUUUGUGGAGUUUAAAUAGAGCAGAAUGGUGCUCCUUUUUAAAGAAGUGCUUUACAGUUACCUUCCUGUCAGAAUUCCAAUUAUUCUAUGACUCAGUGGGUACAUGUCUAGCUUUCUAAAAAUGCCUUUUUUGGGUAAGGGUAUGAAGAAGUUUCUAGGAGAAGUUUGUAAAGGAAAAAUUUAUGUAACAAUGCGAAGCUGCAUCCCAUACAGCUUAUUUCAUUAUUGGAAAUACAGUGUUUUAAGAAUUGAGCCAUACCUCUAAAAGCGAUAAACACUGUCUUUUUUUGCAUUUGAAAACAUGGUAAUUCAGAGUUCCCUAGUGGUGCAGUAGGUUGAGGAUCCAGUACUGUCACUGCAGUGGCUCAGGUCACUGCUGUGAUACAGGUUCCAUCCCUGGCCCGGGAACUUCCACAUGCUGCGGGCAUGGCCAAAACGAAAAAAUAGAAAAGAAGACAUGGGAGUUCCCGUCAUGGCGCAGUGGUUAACGAAUCCGACUAGGAACCAUGAGGUUGCAGGUUCGAUCCCUGGCCUUGCUCAGGGGGUUAAUGAUCCGGCGUUGCUGUGAGCUGUAGUGUAGGUUGCAGACACGGCUCGGAUCCCACGUUGCUGUGGCUCUGGUGUAGGCCGGUGGCUGCAGCUCCAAUUUGACUCCUAGCCUGGGAAACCUCCAUAUGUCGCGGGAGCAGCCCAAGAAAAUGGCAAAAAGACAAAAAAAAAAAAAAAAAAAAAAAAAAGAAGAAGAAGACAUGCUAAUUCACUUAGGAAUUAGCUGACAUGUAAGGCAGGGUUGAUGCUAUUUAAUAUUCAUUUGUCUCAGUCCUUUGGAUUUGGACUUUCCUAGAAGAAGAAUCAAGCUAAAAUUUCCAGAGGUUUGUUUUUCCUGGUUUCCACCAAACCUGAGUAUACGCCCUUUCUCAUCCGUAGUACAGCCUGGGUAUCUCCACCUUUUGAAUGCACAGCUAGCCUACAGUCCCAGCCCCCCGGGGUACGUUCACGUGGCCCGUGACUGGUUCUGGCCAGUGGAAUGUGGACAGAGGGAUGUACUUUUCAGGCCUGACCCAUAGACACGCUCUCUGAUCCCCACACCAACCCCUAAAAGGCCGAGGAUCUGGGUGAGGAUGCUGAGGCCGGGUCACUAGACAAAUGGCCAGGUGCCAACCACAAAUACCUGUGGUGCCCAACUUACUUUGAGUAACUGAGAAAUACACUUUCGUUGUGUUAAAUC
ensembl:lncRNA